ACUCCACGCUGUUUGCCCAGAUGCUCUUUGGAGCCGAGACGAGCUAAUCACAGGGAGCGGCUGUGGGCUGCGGGGCGCCCCAGGUCGGCCACAUUCACUGCGCUCCUGCCCUCGCCAGCCUCCAAGUUGACGCAACUUUUCCAAGAGUAUCUGUAAGGCCUGAAUAGAAGCCUUGGGGGUCUGAGGGCCCAGAGGGCGUACAGGAGCUUCCCCUGACCCCCUCGCCCUUCUAGGAAACAGCCUGGAUAGGGGUGCGCUUUGGCUGGAGGAGCGCACCGCACCGUCUGACUUGUCCCGGACAAGAGUUUGAGGGAGGCCUCCCUGCUCGCUGCAAAGACCUGGCGGGGAGGCAAGAACCCGGGCACGGAGGGGGGUCGACUGGGGGUUCUGAAUGGCAGGAGGAGCUGCGCCAGAGGGCUGGGCGCGAGGCGCUGCAGUGCGCGCAACGCCCGAGGCUGUCUCCACCUCUUCUGGCAGCUUGGACCUAUGAGUGCGCAGCUCGACUUACAACCAUCAACAGCCCGGGAGGUGAGCGCGUGCGAGCGCCGAGGGGGGCGCAGGACCCUCGCCACUUCCUCGCGGGACCCCAGCGGGCUGCCGGAGUCCGCUGCCACCGGACGGCCGCGCGCCCACGCCUCCUCUCCCUGGGGGCCGUCCUGCCACCCCGACGGGAUGCCCGCAGCCAUGCUCCCCUGCGCUUGCGUCCUGAUGCUUUUGGGAGGACACCAGUCACUGGAUCUGGGCCCACCCUCAGCCAGGAUGACCUCAUUGAUCGCCUCUGGGAAAACCCGAUUUCCAAUACCACAUUCACAGAACCCUUAUUUCCACUGGGCGCGUGGUCGUGCAGAUGGCGCAGCCGUCUCCAGCCUCCCUGGCAGCUGGUGUGGCCACGGCUUGGGAGGAGAAGUGAUGUUGCAAAAGGAGCCAUGGCUAAGCCGUCAGGCCAGAGCCGAUGGCCUGGCUCGAAGCCCGGCUCUGUCACCGGGGGCAGCCUGGGCCCCAGGCCAGCUAAGCCCGGCUCGCCCAGCCCGUGGCUCUACCCAUCAGAGGCAGCGGAUGCUAACACCAUCUCCUGGGGUCAUUGCAACGCCCACUCUGCAGAGGCAGCCGGGAUGGCAGGGGGUAGCCACCUGCGCUGGGGACCACACUGCCAGCAGCUCCUGCCCAACAGAGCGCCCGUCACCGCACUGCUGCCCCCACGCCUGGACGGGCCCUGGAUCUCCACUGGCUGCGAGGUGCGCCCGGGACCCGAGUUCCUCACCCGCUCCUACACCUUCUACCCCAACCGCCUCUUCCGCGCCUACCACUUCUACUACAGGGACCCCUCGUGCCGGGAGCCCGCCCACUCACUGCUCAUCAAGGGCAAGGUGCGCCUGCGCCGCGCCUCCUGGGUCACCCGGGGCGCCACCGAGGCCGACUACUACCUGCACAAGGUGGGCGUCGUCUUCCACAGCCGCCGCGCCCUGCUCGACGUGGCCGGGCGCCUGGACCAGAGCCCGGCCGGCCGGGCCUGUGCGCGCCGCCUGCCCGCCGCCCGGGCCUGGCUGCCGGGGGCCCUGUACGAGCUGCUGGGCGCCGGGGCUGAGCGGGACUGCGCGGCCGCCCUGGGCUUCACCAUGCACGAGCUCAGCCUGGUCCGCGUGCAGCGCCGCCUGCAGCCCGAGCCCCGGGCCGCGCCCCGGCUGGUGGAGGAGCUCUACCUGGGGGACAUCCACACCGACCGGGCCGAGCGGCGGCACUACCGGCCCACCGGCUACCAGCGCCCGCUGCAGAGCGCCCUGCACCACGCCCGCCCCUGCCCGGCCUGCAGCCUCAUCGCCCGCUCCGACGAGCACCACCCGCCCGUGCUGCCCCGCCAGGCGGCCCUGCCCCUGCGCCUGGGCGGCCGCUGGGUCAGCCCCGGGUGCGAGGUGCGCCCCGCCGUGCUCUUCCUCACCAGGUUCUUCACCUUCCACGCGCACAACCGCUCCUGGGAAGGGUAUUACCACCACUUCUCGGACCCCACCUGCCGGCAGCCCACCUUCACCGUUUACGCCGCCGGCCGCUACACCAAGGGCACGCCGUCGGCCAAGGUUCGUGGCGGCACCGAGCUGGUGUUCCAGGUCACGCGGGCCCGCGUCACCCCCAUGGACCGGGUCACCACGGCCAUGCUCAACUUCUCCGAGCCGAGCAGCUGUGGCGGCCCGGGGGCCUGGUACCUGGGAGCCGAGCGGGACGUCACGGCCACCAACGGGUGCCUGCCGCUGGGCAUCAGGCUGCCCCACGUGGAGUACGAGCUCUUCAGGAUGGAGCAGGACCCCCUCGGGCAAAGCCUGCUCUUCAUCGGACAGAGGCCCACUGACGGCUCCAGUCCCGACACCCCGGAGAAGAGGCCCACGUCCUACCAAGCCCCCCUGGUGCUCUGUGACAGGGUGGCCUGGGGCUUCUCCAGGCCUCUGCUGCAGACGCCCGUCGGCGGUGGGGGGCUGGGUCCCCCAGCGGCCCCUCUCCCCUUCCUGCUCCUGGUUCUCGGGCUGGCCUUCCUCCAGUGGCUAUGAAAUUGGUCUCUGACUUCCAGACGGUGCCUCAGGACACUCGUCCGACCCCGUGGACUCCCUGCUGGCACAGACCUCUCCACCCGUGACUGCCCUGGACAGUUACACAGCCCGGCCUGCGUCCUAAGUGGCUCAGCAGCUGAGUUUUGACAGCACCUGCAGAGUCUACACCGUGGCCAGCAACUCGAAUCAUGACCACAAACUCGGGCAUCACAGCAACGUCAACGGCUCCGAGUUCCUAAGUGCUCGUGACCACAAACUCGGGCAUCACAGCAACGUCAACGGCUCCGAGUUCCUAAGUGCUCGCUCCCGACUCUCCUGGGCAGCGCGCGGGCCGGCGCCGGGGAGUGGACCUCACCCGUCUCCCUGCCCGACGGCACCCCGGUUCCCUCCCUGAGCCCCUGAGAUUCAGUGAAAUGGAAACACGGUUCUGCACGUGCGGGCUGCCACUGCUCUGCUGAGUCUGUGGGUUGUUGUUUAAAGAUUAUUAAUUCGGAUUUAGCAAUACAAACUGAAACCCAAGCCAUGAAUUAAAGAUGCUGCUUCGGGCUUUCAGCACGUCUCAGCUCGCUGGCAGGGGGCUCGUCUCUUUGGGGGCAACUUGGCUUUCUUGAGUCGUGACUGCUGGCGUUUUGUCUGCGCCUGCCUAUGCUCCUGUGAGUCAGGCCUCGAGCUGUCAACACCGCGAGCGGGUAAAUCCAGCCCUCCCGGGGCCAGCAAGCAAAUAAAGGCGGCCCCAUCCACACCAAACCCCAGCGUGUGGGGCUGGCGGCCGGGGUCAGGUCUUUGGAGGAAAGCAGCGUUUCCAGCCUUUGGAAAGUAAUUAAUACUAAUGACAGCGGUGACACUAAUGUGCUCUGUAAUUAGCCCUGCACAGGCGUCCUCUGUUUUCAAGAUUCCCUGUGCUUGGCUGACAAGGAGGGAGAGAAACCUCCGACGCGUCUUUGGGACCAUCCUAGGGUCAACGGGCUACCCGGCCACAUGUGGAGGAGGAGGGAGAAGAGGGCCACACCUCACCCAGCCCGGCUCGCUGCAGUGCUGAUGUGCUGACGUUCCCUGCUCAGAGGGGGCUGUCACCAAGCCUCCCUCAUCUACAGCACGAGUUCCUCGACAGCCAGCCCUUGUCUGCCUGGAUCCCCGCUGUGCCCCCGUGUGUGGAACGGAGCCUGGCACAGAGUAGGGGCUCAAUAAACACCGAUUACUUGAAGAAAUGCUCUGAGACCUGGCUGGAAGUACUCUGAAUUCAAGCAUCAAGAUGAUAGCCACAUACUUUAAAUAGCAGCUUGGAAUUUUGAUUUUUUUUUUUUUUUUUAAUAAGAUGGGCAGAGCACACCUCUGUGAUCUUGAGGAUACCUGUUUUCUGCUAGCCAGGCUCUCUCUAGGAAGGACAUUAGGGACUGCUGUCCCAGCAUAGGGGGAAACACGGCCUGACACGGGGUCCCCCGAGAGUCCACCUCAGGUUUCUCACACUUAACAGAGGUCAGGGAGACUGGGGCCCCUCAGCCUCACAGACACACCUAAGACUCUCCUUCUCGCUGCUUCAGUUUCCCCACCAGCAAAAUGAGUUGAAACCUGGUAAUUCCUGGAGCCACCCAGCCUCAACACCCAGAAAGCCCAUAGCUGGCAAGUGAAUCCAGAGGAAUCAAUGAUAUAUAUUCUAGGAGAAAUGGCUUUAAACCAGGAAACUCUCAGUGAGGAUGGGUCUUUUCUCAGUGAUGUCAUAUUUAUUUCCUAAGGGCUAUUAAUUAACAACUUACUACUCUUC